rnacentral:rRNA from 1 species
GAUGAACGCUAGCGGCAGGCCUAACACAUGCAAGUCGAGGGGCAGCACAGAAACAGCAAUGUUUUGAUGGCGACCGGCGGACGGGUGCGUAACGCGUAUGCAACCUACCUUUAACAGGGGGAUAACGGAGAGAAAUUUCCACUAAUACCCCAUAACAUCGAUCAAGGCAUCUUGAUUGGUUGAAAACUCCGGUGGUUAAAGAUGGGCAUGCGUUGUAUUAGGUAGUUGGUGAGGUAAUGGCUCACCAAGCCUACGAUACUUAGGGGGACUGAGAGGUUAGCCCCCCACACUGGUACUGAGACACGGACCAGACUCCUACGGGAGGCAGCAGUGAGGAAUAUUGGUCAAUGGGGGCAACCCUGAACCAGCCAUGCCGCGUGCAGGAAGACGGCUCUAUGAGUUGUAAACUGCUUUUAAACAGGGAUAAAGCACAGUACGUAUACUGUGUUGAAGGUACUGUAAGAAUAAGGAUCGGCUAACUCCGUGCCAGCAGCCGCCGCAG